rnacentral:lncRNA from 1 species
UUAAAAAAAAAGAUUUUUAAAAAGCGAAGAUUUUGAAAUAUAAACUGUUAAACCAUUUUUGGAGUUUUUAAAAAUAUAUAAACAUACAGACUUUUACAAAUAAAAUGGAUACCUAAUAAAUACUCAUUUUAAAAGUUUUUUGAUAUAUAAAUAUAUAAACUUUACAAAUAAAAUGGAUGCCUAACAAAUACUCAUUUUAAAAGUUAUUCUUUAAAUAUAUAAACUUCUACAAAUAAAAUGGAUACCUAAUAAAUACUCAGUUUUCUUUGAUACUGUUUAGUUAAUAAUGUAUACCUUGAUUUAAAACUCUUACUGAAGGAAGUGUCUUACUAAGCUAGGGCUUUCCUUUAAUAUCUAAAAUGCAGGGUUUUGAUCUUAACAUAUACUUUUAAAAAACCUAAUAGACUUUAUUUUUUAGUUUUGAGUUCACAGGAAAAUUGAGUGGAAAGUAUACAGAGCUCCCAUAUAUUCCCAUCCUCCUCACACACACUUAACAUCUCUUAAACUUGGUAACUGAUAAGUGUGUGAGUGUGGUAAUAUUUUAGGUAACAGUCUUUUUCACCAACAAUAUUUUUAUCCUACUGAGUGUUAGGCUGUAAGUAUUCUUUAUUUUUAUUGUCUGUGAACUAAUUCAGAAACAAGUAUUACUUUUCUAAAACUUACAAAUUAAAAGACCAAAUUAAUGUUCUAAUGAAGUCAGCUAGGUCCUGUUUCCUAGAAUAUUUGGGAGAUGGCCAAACUAUUUAAACCAAAAAGUUGAAAAAUAAUUACUGUAAAGUUAUGUGCUUCAUGUAGAGUUAAGUAACAGUUGUUACAUUUCAUUUUCUUCAGUUACCGUGUGCCAUAGGAACUCACUUAGUCUGGUCACUGAAAAGCUGUUUUAAAAUGCUUUCUCUUGAAUUGAUAUCAGCUGUCAUCUACACCUACAACUUUUAUAGGGUUUACAGAUUGGUACCCGAGAAUUGGAAGAGAUGGGAGCAAAAUUUUGUGUUGGUCUUUUACGUUUGAAAAGACUGACAUCUCCACUAGAGUACAAUCUGCCUUCCAGCCUGCUUGACUUUGAAAAUGAUUUAAUUGAAUCAAGCUGCAAAGUAACUAGCCCUACCACUUACGUUUUGGAUGAAGAUGAACCUCGAUUCCUUGAAGAAGUUGAUUACAGUGCAGAAAGUAAUGAUGAAUUAGAUAUUGAGUUGGCUGAAAAUGUGGGAGAUUAUGAAUCUUCUGCUCAAGAAGAAGUACUUUCUGACUCUGAAUUAUCAAGAACAUACCUACCCUGA